CCUACGGGUGGCAGCAGUAGGGAAUCUUCCACAAUGGGCGAAAGCCUGAUGCAGCAACGCCGCGUGGGUGAUGAAGGUCUUCGGAUCGUACAACCCUGUUGUUAGAGAAGAAAGUGCGUGCGCGUAACUGUUCACGUUUCGACGGUAUCUAACCAGAACGCCACGGCUAACUACGUGCCGGCAGCCGCGGUAAUACGUAGGUGGCAAGCGUUGUCCGGAUUUAUUGGGCGUAAAGGGAACGCAGGCGGUCUUUUAAGUCUGAUGUGAAAGCCUUCGGCUUAACCGGAGUAGUGCAUUGGAAACUGGGAGACGUGAGUGCAGAAGAGGAGAGUGGAACUCCAGGUGUAGCGGUGAAAUGCGUAGAUAUAUGGAAGAACACCAGUUGCGAAAGCGGCUCUCUGGUCUGUAACUGACGCUGAGGUUCGAAAGCGUGGGUAGCAAACAGGAUUAGAUACCCCUGUAGUC
rnacentral:rRNA from 1 species